AGCAGCCGCGGUAAUUCCAGCUCCAAUAGCGUAUAUUAAAGUUGUUGCAGUUAAAAAGCUCGUAGUUGAAUUUCGAGAUCAAAUUGUUGGUCGUGCCUUGGUACGUACUGACAUUAUUGAUUUCUCCCUUCUGAAGAACCAUGAUGUCAUUAAUUUGGUGUCAUGGGGAAUCAGGACUGUUACUUUGAAAAAAUUAGAGUGUUUAAAGCAAGCUCGCGCUUGAAUACAUUAGCAUGGAAUAAUGAAAUAGGACGUUUAAUUCUAUUUUGUUGGUUUCUAGGAUUGACGUAAUGAUUAAUAGGGAUAGUUGGGGGCAUUAGUAUUCAAUUGUCAGAGGUGAAAUUCUUGGAUUUAUUGAAGACUAACUACUGCGAAAGCAUUUGCCAAGGAUGUUUU
rnacentral:rRNA from 1 species